AUUGAACGCUGGCGGCAGGCCUAACACAUGCAAGUCGAACGGUAACAGGAAGAGUCUUGCUUCUUUGCUGACGAGUGGCGGACGGGUGAGUAAUGUCUGGGAAACUGCCUGAUGGAGGGGGAUAACUACUGGAAACGGUAGCUAAUACCGCAUAACGUCGCAAGACCAAAGAGGGGGACCUUCGGGCCUCUUGCCAUCGGAUGUGCCCAGAUGGGAUUAGCUAGUAGGUGGGGUAACGGCUCACCUAGGCGACGAUCCCUAGCUGGUCUGAGAGGAUGACCAGCCACACUGGAACUGAGACACGGUCCAGACUCCUACGGGAGGCAGCAGUGGGGAAUAUUGCACAAUGGGCGCAAGCCUGAUGCAGCCAUGCCGCGUGUAUGAAGAAGGCCUUCGGGUUGUAAAGUACUUUCAGCGGGGAGGAAGGGAGUAAAGUUAAUACCUUUGCUCAUUGACGUUACCCGCAGAAGAAGCACCGGCUAACUCCGUG
rnacentral:rRNA from 1 species